UGUAUAAGGUUAGGGAGCGUGUGUAUUAUGUAUAAGGUUAGGGAGAGUGUGUAUUCUGUAUAAGGUUAGGGAGCGUGUGUAGUGUGUGUAUAAGGUUAGGGAGCGUGUGUAGUGUGUGUAUAAGGUUAGGGAGCGUGUGUAUUACGUAUAAGGUUAGGGAGAGUGUGUAUUCUGUAUA